rnacentral:rRNA from 1 species
CCAGAUAGCCAUGUCACUCUGCAACUCACAACUGGUAACCCACUGAAGCUAAGCAGGUGUGAGCCAGGUCAGUACCUGGGUGAGAGACCUCCUGGGAAAGCUAAGGUUGCUGCUGGA